UACGUAGGUGGCAAGCGUUGUCCGGAAUUAUUGGGCGUAAAGCGCGCGCAGGUGGUUUCUUAAGUCUGAUGUGAAAGCCCACGGCUCAACCGUGGAGGGUCAUUGGAAACUGGGGAACUUGAGUGCAGGAGAGAAGAGUGGAAUUCCACGUGUAGCGGUGAAAUGCGUAGAGAUGUGGAGGAACACCAGUGGCGAAGGCGACUCACUGGCCCGAUACUGACGCUGAGGCACGAAAGCGUGGGGAGCAAACAGG
rnacentral:rRNA from 1 species